rnacentral:rRNA from 1 species
UACGAAGGGGGCUAGCGUUGCUCGGAAUCACUGGGCGUAAAGGGCGCGUAGGCGGCCGAUUAAGUCGGGGGUGAAAGCCUGUGGCUCAACCACAGAAUUGCCUUCGAUACUGGUUGGCUUGAGACCGGAAGAGGACAGCCGGAACUGCGAGUGUAGAGGUGAAAUUCGUAGAUAUUCGCAAGAACACCGGUGGCGAAGGCGGCUUCUUGGGCCGUUCCUGACGCUGAUGCGCGAAAGCUGGGGGAGCGAACGGG